AGGCAGCAGUAGGGAAUAUUGCGCAAUGGGGGAAACCCUGACGCAGCAACGCCGCGUGGAGGAUGACACUUUUCGGAGCGUAAACUUCUUUUCUUAGGGAAGAAUUCUGACGGUACCUAAGGAAUAAGCACCGGCUAACUCCGUGCCAGCAGCCGCGGUAAUACGGAGGGUGCCAGC
rnacentral:rRNA from 1 species